AAUGCAGUUCUGCUAGUGAUGAACUCUGUCAGCUAUUAUUUGUUUUGCAUGCCAGUUGGCUUUUGAGUGGGACAGUUGUUACAGUGAGAGCAGUGACAUUGGAAACCACUAUUGCCUAUUUGAAUUACUUGAAACGCGACCAUGAAAAAAACUACCUGUGAUUUGCUUUCUCGAAGCAAAAGUGCCUCUGAAGAAACCCUGAAUUCCAGUAAUGAAGAAGACCCUUUACGCGGGAUGGAGCCCUAUCUUG